CCACUGAACCCUAGCUGCCACCUACCGUUGUGGCCUGAUGCGCGCCGCGCACCUUGACCGAUGAAGACCGGCAUCCAGUGCCCGAGCGGCGGCCCUGAUCGGUGAGGACCGGCGCCCCGAGCGGCGGCCCUGAUCGGUGAAGACCGGCGCCCCGAGCGGUGGCCCUGGCCAUUGAAGAUCGACUCCCCAAGCGGCGGCCUGAAGACCCACGCCCCGCGCCACCAAUCCCAGCCUCCUGGAGGUCGCCCCGCUGCCUGUGACGCCGCCGUUUGCCGCCACCGCUCCACCUCCCGACGACCGGUUCAACAGUGCUGCAGUUCGUCACCGACACCUGCCUUCUUCCACACUGUUCGCCGGCUAGCCGCCUGCUGCCACUUUUGGUUGUCCACAUCGUAGCUGAAGAUGCUUUCUAUACUGGAAUCUGAACAUGAUGAGGAGCUGAAUGACAAAGGUGAUGCAUUUACGAGUGUAGAGGCAGAGGCAGAUGCAGAAGCAGGAGAUGAAUCAGUCCUAUGUAGCAUCAUUGAAGAUGAAGAUGUCAAAGCAAAAGUUGCUGAAGGUGCCAUUCCAGAAGCUGCUCAAGAUGACAAGCCAAAAGGACGGAAGCAAAUGGCAUCAAGAUCACAAAUUUGGGAGCAUUUCAUCAAAGUUUUUGACGACAAGGGGUUAGUGAAGGAAGGAAAAUGCAAGUAUUGUGAUCGACCAAUUCAAGCUACUACAUCAAUCCAUGGGACAACAGCAAUGCGCAGGCACUUUGGUACAUGCAAGCUCAAUCCGAAUAGGAAAGGGAUCCAAAUCAGACCACUUUGCAAGCAACUCCAGGAGAUGGCAUCAGCACUUGGAGAUACGGCGCAGAGAAAGUUAGGAAAGCAUUUUCUAUAAUGGUCAUAGAGGAUGAACUGCCUUUUGCAUUUGGUGAGAAAUCUGGAUUCAGAAAGUUCAUUUCAGUCGCUUGCCCCCGCUUUAGUCCACCAUCAAGAAGAACUUGUACCAGGGACACUGUCAAAAUCUAUCUAGAUGAGAAGUCCAAGUUGAAAAAGUUUUUCAAAGACCAUUGUGGAAGUGUGUGUAACCACUGAUUGUUAGACUUCUCAGCAGCAAGAUGGCUAUAUGGUAGUGACUGCACACUUUACUGAUGAAAAUUGGAAGUAUCAUAAGAAGAUUAUCAAUUUCAUAAUGGUGAAGGGCCACAAGGGGAAGGAUCUUGGGAAGAACUUGCAGAGAUGUUUGAUGGAAUGGGGGUUAGAGAGAGUUAUGCCAGUCACCGUGGAUAAUGCAAGCGCUAAUGAUGGCUGCAUCGUUCACUUGAGAAAGUGCUUGGUUGAGGCAAAAAUGAGCAUAGCCGCUGACUACUUUGGAAAUAUUUGGUGUUGAGUGUGGAGAGAAGGUGUGGUAUGCUGGUAACAAAUGUGUGCGUGAGUUGUUUGAAGAAUACCGAGUAAGAUUGACUACACCGGAACCAACAACACCAUCCAAUAUCCAAGUAACAAUAGAUGGAGGAGGAGCAAGUAUGAUGAAGGAACUAAUUGCAAGCAGGUUGAGGCAAAAUAAUAGUGGAGGAAGUGCAAGUAGUAAAUCUGAGCUUGAAAAAUACCUUGCCGAAGACUCUGAAGACCCUGACAAAAAAAUUGACAUCCUAGGAUGGUGGAAAGAGAAUUCAUCUAGGUUUCCAAUCUUGGCAAAUAUGGCUCGUGAUAUUCUUGCUAUCCCCAUUACAACGGUGGCUUCUGAGUCUGCCUUUAGCACAAGUGGACGCAUACUUGAUGACUUUAGGACAUCUCUAACUCCGUUUAUGGUACAAGCUUUAGUUUGUACGCAAGAUUGGCUGAGAAGGUCAACAGAUCCGGUCGACAUCAAGGAGAACUUGGAAGAAUUAGAAGUGUUAGAAAAAGAGUUGAUUGAAGAAUUUGGUGACAAGGUGAGGGGAAAGCGCAAGUUCAAUGCUGGUGUUGUUGCUUCUUCCAUGGCCAAGUCAAACAAGUGUGCAAGUUGACCAACAAUGUGACCUCCACGUCUACUCAUGGCUGAACUAAAAUCAUGUUGAAUGUAUGAUGUUUUAGUUAUCAUCUUGUGCUUGUGAUUUGUGACCUGAGACUUGAGAAUUGAGAACCGAGAGUGAGAGUGUGAGACCUUAAUGUCGUUGUUUGCUGCUGAACUGAGAUCAUGUACUGAACCUGGUUUAUUUCAUGUUAAGUGCUAUGUUGUCAAGUACUAUGCGGUGAAAGCCGAUGUACUGUACUCCAUGCAUAUUGCA